rnacentral:rRNA from 1 species
GCGGGAGUAGACCAACAGGGAUUGCCUUAGUAACGGCGAGUGAAGCGGCAAUAGCUCAAAUUUGAAAUCUGACUCUCGGGUCCGAAUUGUAAUUUGUAGAGGAUGCUUCGGCUUAUGUCUCGGUCUAAGUUCUUUGGAACAGGACGUCAUAGAGGGUGAGAAUCCCGUAUGUGGCCGACGACUUCCGCCAUGUGAAGCUCCUUCGACGAGUCGAGUUGUUUGGGAAUGCAGCUCUAAAUGGGAGGUAAAUUUCUUCUAAAGCUAAAUAUUGGCCAGAGACCGAUAGCGCACAAGUAGAGUGAUCGAAAGAUGAAAAGCACUUUGGAAAGAGAGUUAAAAAGUACGUGAAAUUGUUGAAAGGGAAGCGUUUGCGACCAGACUUGCCUGCAGUUGUUCAGCCGGUCCUUCGGCCGGUGCAUUCUUCUGCGGUCAGGCCAGCAUCAGUUCGGGUGGUUGGAUAAAGGCCUUGGGAAUGUGGCUCUCUUCGGGGAGUGUUAUAGCCCUUGGUGCAAUACAGCCUGUCUGGACUGAGGCCCGCGCUUCGGCUAGGAUGCUGGCGUAAUGGUCGUAAGCGGCCCGUCUUGAAACACGGACCAAGGAGUCUAACAUCUAUGCGAGUGUUUGGGUGUCAAACCCGUGCGCGAAAUGAAAGUGAACGGAGGUGGGAACCUUUGGGUGCACCAUCGACCGAUCCUGAUGUCUUCGGAUGGAUUUGAGUAAGAGCAUAGCUGUUGGGACCCGAAAGAUGGUGAACUAUGCCUGAAUAGGGUGAAGCCAGAGGAAACUCUGGUGGAGGCUCGCAGCGGUUCUGACGUGCAAAUCGAUCGUCAAAUUUGGGUAUAGGGGCGAAAGACUAAUCGAACCAUCUAGUAGCUGGUCCUGCGAGU